AUGUCGUCGGCGGCGGGGACACCAUCGGACGGCGGAGGGGAUAGGCCGUGGCAGUCAUACCACACCGCCUACACCAACGCCAAAGCUGGAAUGGAGGGAGUUGACAAAGAGAAGGUGCAGAAGGUGAUCUAUGAAAUGAGCAAGGGUUUCGAAAAUGAGCAGAAGGAGGCGAUUACCAAACUUAAAAUCGAGCAUCUGCACACACAGUGUGCAAAGUUAACUGAUAAUGACAUAUCACAUUUUCAGAAGCAUCUCCAAGUCCUACAGCCUGGGUCAUCUCUGUCACCAACACAUACAACCUGGGUAGCAGUAUUCUGA
rnacentral:rRNA from 1 species